rnacentral:ncRNA from 3 species
UAGGCAGUGUAAUUAGCUGAUUGU